rnacentral:lncRNA from 1 species
CUCUGCCCAAUUCCACUUUUUGGGCCACAGCUCUGAAAGUCAGCAUACGCACUGAUAUUUAUGAGUAUUUAAUCUGUAUCGACAGGCCGUGAGAGGAGAGAGAGGCAGUUGAUGGGUUCUCUUUCUUUUCAAAAUUCUCUUUCCAGAACGUUUUCGUUUACUCUUGAACUGAUACAUGAUCAGUUCUUUUUUUGUAUGUAUACUCUGAAUCAGUCUUAUUUGCCUUUAUAACUUUUCUCUAGAAAGAAAUGGGGGCAUGUGUUUCUGUACCUAAGAAUUGUGUGGGAGGUAAAUUGGGAGGUUCGAGAAUGAAGAAUAGGAAGAGAAGAAAAGCUAUGAAGAGAAGUAAUCCUUAUCAUAUAUCUGAUCGAUCUUUGCCUUUGGAUCGUUCCUUCAACAAUCCCACAAUUCAUGGUUCUCUCUUUUUCUCAAUAUAUACGUGUGGCCGUAUAUGUGUUUUUCAUAUUCGAAUAUUUAUUGCUUAUAUGAAUAGUUGUUUUGUGGCUAGUUUGGAAUAUUUAUUGCUUAUAUGAAUAGUUGUUUUGUGGCUAGUUUGGAAUAUUUAUUGCUUAUAUGAAUAGUUGUUUUGUGGCUAGUUUGGAAUAUUUAUUGCUUAUAUGAAUAGUUGUUUUGUGGCUAGUUUGGAAUAUUUAUUGCUUAUAUGAAUAGUUGUUUUGUGGCUAGUUUGGUGGUGGGUUGGAGAGUACUAAUCGAUUAGAGAAG